GAUCCUGGCUCAGGAUGAAUGCUGGCGGCGUGCCUAAUACAUGCAAGUCGAGCGGUAACAUGGAAUAGCUUGCUAUUCUGAUGACGAGCGGCGGACGGCUGAGUAACGCGUGGGAACGGACCCCAAACUGAGGGAUAACUAUUCGAAAGAGUAGCUAAUACCGCAUGUGAUCUUCGGAUUAAAGGAUUUAUCCGGUUUUGGGACUGGCCUGCGUACGAUUAGAUAGUUGGUGAGGUAACGG
rnacentral:rRNA from 1 species